UGGGGAAUAUUGGACAAUGGGCGAAAGCCUGAUCCAGCCAUGCCGCGUGUGUGAAGAAGGUCUUCGGAUUGUAAAGCACUUUAAGUUGGGAGGAAGGGCAGUAAGCGAAUACCUUGCUGUUUUGACGUUACCGACAGAAUAAGCACCGGCUAACUCUGUGCCAGCAGCCGCGGUAAUACAGAGGGUGCAAGCGUUAAUCGGAAUUACUGGGCGUAAAGCGCGCGUAGGUGGUUCGUUAAGUUGAAUGUGAAAGCCCCGGGCUCAACCUGGGAAAUGCAUCCAAAACUGGCGAGCUAGAGUAGGGCAGAGGGUGGUGGAAUUUCCGGUGUAGCGGUUAAAUGCGUAGAUAUAGGAAGGAACACCAGUGGCGAAGGCGACCACCUGGGCUCAUACUGACACUGAGGUGCGAAAGCGUGGGGAGCAAACAGG
rnacentral:rRNA from 1 species